GGAAAAAAAACAUCAUAAGUACCAAAGAGAUCACAAAGACUUCAAAGAGGGUAUGGUCUUUAGACAAAGAAACAAAAACAAGAGAAAAUACAAUAGUCGGCAGAACUCUACCACAUCCGGAGAAACGGAUUGGUCUGGGUCCGAUUUUAGUCCCCCAAGGAGAACCAAUAGUAUCCCAACUAAUGUCCAACAAAGAAGAAAAAGUAUUCUGAAAUCAGUGGAUAAAAAUGUGUCUUUUCCAGACACACAAUUUGAUAACUUUUCUAACUCCACUACAAAUUCUUUGACCUCCGAUAAUCCUUCAUCUUUAGGAGCUUCUUCCUCUUCUUCUUUUUUAGAUCAGGAGUGGUCUCAACCCCAGAGAGGCAAACUCCGAGACAGAAAAAGAUGGGGGUACAAAAUAAACAAGGAAGGUCACAAGAACUAACAAACUAUGACACUACAGAAGACAAUCUUAUCAUCAAUUUAUCCACUUUUAAUUUGGAAAGUAAACAUAUAUCCCUGCUUAGUAAGGGUUUAAAUUUUGUCCCUUCUCCCACUAUAAACAAAUUUGAGUGGGUAAAGG